rnacentral:snoRNA from 1 species
CCUGCUGCUGCUGCUGCUGCAGGUGCUGCUGCUGCUGCUGCUGCUGCUGCAGCAGCAGCAGCAGCAGAGCGGGGUUCUGUCUUGAGGGAAUAGACAGGCAGCAAGUGUGGGGCGUCAGGAUCGUUGAUGAGGCCAACACU